GAUGAACGCUGGCGGCGUGCCUAAUACAUGCAAGUCGAGCGAAUGGAUUAAGAGCUUGCUCUUAUGAAGUUAGCGGCGGACGGGUGAGUAACACGUGGGUAACCUGCCCAUAAGACUGGGAUAACUCCGGGAAACCGGGGCUAAUACCGGAUAACAUUUUGAAACGCAUGGUUCGAAAUUGAAAGGCGGGUUCGGCUGUUACUUAUGGAUGGACCCGCGUCGCAUUAGCUAGUUGGUGAGGUAACGGCUCACCAAGGCAACGAUGCGUAGCCGACCUGAGAGGGUGAUCGGCCACACUGGGACUGAGACACGGCCCAGACUCCUACGGGAGGCAGCAGUAGGGAAUCUUCCGCAAUGGACGAAAGUCUGACGGAGCAACGCCGCGUGAGUGAUGAAGGCUUUCGGGUCGUAAAACUCUGUUGUUAGGGAAGAACAAGUGCUAGUUGAAUAAGCUGGCACCUUGACGGUACCUAACCAGAAAGCCACGGCUAACUACGUGCCAGCAGCCGCCGUAA
rnacentral:rRNA from 1 species